ACCACUCGGACACUGUCACAGUCGGGAGUGGACACGGCCCCGGACAUCGCUGCGCCAGCCAGGCCCUGGCUCGGCCUCUUCGGCCUCGACCCCACCCCCACCCGGCUCUGACUCUUUGUUCGGAGGACAAAGGGCUCCGGCAGAGCCUCUGGGUCCUGCUGACUCUGCACCCCCUCCCAGAACAGGACAAAGGGGGGACGCGAAGCUUCUGAUGCCUCAGCCAGUUUCUGUGGAGGCUGCAAGGGCAGGGAGGCCGGCUGAAGGACGGAGGCCUGGGGACAGAGCCACGCGGGCAGACCCCGUGUCUGCACCAUGACUGCGGGGGGUCCCCUUCGGGAGGUGUCACAUGAAGCCGUCCUGCAGACCCCUGCCCUCCGGGGAGGCAAGACGCACAAACGAGCGACUGAGUCCAUCACGAGCUUGGGCAGAGCAGGGGCAACGGAGCCCAGGAAAGAGGUGAGGCCGGGUGCUUAGAAGCAGGUCAGGGGUGGCCCUCUGGACAAGACCGUCGCAGGACAGGAGGGAAGCGAGGAGCCUGCCACCCAGGUGUCAGUGUGGGGGCCCGACAACUGACCCACGUCCAUGGGACACACUGAUGCAAAGCCUGGUCUGUCGGGGGUCCUGGGGGCCCAGAAAAGCCCUCGUGGGAAGGCAGGCAGCCUGAAUCUGAGAUUCCCCACCCCCGGCUCUGCCCACCUGCAAUUCCCUCUCCAUCCACCUGGGGGCAGACCUGGCCCAAGAGGAGGUGGGGGGAGGGGAGGGGAGGGGAGGGGAUGGAGGCAGCUGCACACCUGGCAGGUGGCAGGCAGGUGAGCCCCAUAAGGUGGGUAUACCCUUUGCAGACAAUAAAAAGUAGGCCUCCCCCCCAGUUCACCUGGAGCUCAGGGCCCUCCCCAGACACCCCCCGCCCGGGACAUGGUGCCUGCCGGCCCCGUCCCUUUGAGGAUACUGCGGGGAAGGGGGCGGGAAGUGGGCCACAAGCCUGGGGAUGGUCCCUUCCCUCACCCAGGGCUCCUGGGUCCUCGAAGCGCCACCCUGCCCCCCCAACAGCCCACAGUGGCCAAGCAGAGUGCAGGCAGCCUGGGUUUGAACUGACUUUAUUAUUCUGUAAAUGUGAAUUUUACAAAGCGCUUUACAGUGAAGGAUCACAUCCUUUUGUCUGUAACGGAUUUCCACCUCCUGACGGGGCUCACAGCCCUCAGGGUCCUGGUCGCAGGCGGACGUUCUGUCGUCUGAGUUAUGCUACGGCGUGGUGUCAGCGUGGCUACAAAGCGACAGUCUGGAUGCUGCCGAGCAGCAGCGCAGAAAGGAGGCGGCACAGGAGGAACGGUCAGAGGUUUCCUCCUUCUUCAAAAAAAAAAAGAAAAAAAAAAA